rnacentral:rRNA from 1 species
UACGUAGGGGGCUAGCGUUGUCCGGAUUUAUUGGGCGUAAAGAGCGUGUAGGCGGCCAGAUAGGUCCGUUGUGAAAACUCGAGGCUCAACCUCGAGCUGUCGGUUGAAACCACCUUGCUAGAGUCCGGAAGAGGAGAGUGGAAUCCCUGGUGUAGCGGUGAAAUGCGCAGAUAUCAGGAAGAACACCAAUGGCGAAGGCAGCUCUCUGGGACGGUACUGACGCUGAGACGCGAAAGCGUGGGGAGCGAACAGG